AUGCUCGGAGAGGGUCAACUGGACCUCCCGUCCGCUCUGCUCUUCGUGGAAUACAACCGUGGUGCCCAGCCCUUGGGAGCCUUGGAGCCAGCUGGCCUGCUGCUUUCCAGUCAACACGGAGUGCAGCACACACGGCCGCUCCAGUUCAUGGCCUCCCAGGGGUGCUGGGGAUGCAUCCAAAGUGGUUUGAGACAGAGUUGGAAACUCUCACCAACUGGCCUCUUCACCUUCCCCCUUAUCCCACUGCCACCAGCUGCCCUGUCUCACUGCAGAUUCAGGACCAGCUUGGGCUCCGUGCGUUCUGCCUUGCCAGCCAGCCGAGGAUGUAGUUGUUGCUGCCGUCAUCCCACCACCUCAGGGACCAGAGGGCUAGGUUGGCACUGCGGCCCUCACCAAGUCCUGGGCUCGGACCCAACUCCUGGACCUUUCUGGCCUGUAUCAGGCUGUGGCCACACGAGAGGACAGCGUGAGCUCAGGAGAGACUUAGUGACAAUGUACGCCUUUCCCUCAGAAUUCAAGGAAGAGACUGUUGCCUGCCUUCCUCCAUGUUAGCGUGGAACCUGUGUGUCCAUUCCCACCAUAUCCACCCUCGCUCCAUCUUUGAACUCAAACACAAGGAACUAACUGUACCCUGGUCCUCUCCCCAGUUCCUAAUUCACCCGAUCCCUCACCUUCCUCCACUCUAAGGGAUAUCAACACUGCCCAGCACAGGAGCCCUGAAUUUAUGUGGUUUUUAUAUAUUUUUUAAUAAGAUGCACUUUAUGUCAUUUUUUAAUAAAUCUGAAGAAUUAUUGUUUAAUCCU